UACAGAGGUCUCAAGCGUUGUUCGGAUUCAUUGGGCGUAAAGGGUGCGUAGGUGGCGCGCUAAGUCAGGUGUGAAAGUCCAGGGCUCAACCCUGGGAUGCCGGUCGAUACUGCCGGACUAGAGUUCGGAAGAGGCGAGUGGAAUUCCCGGUGUAGCGGUGAAAUGCGCAGAUAUCGGGAGGAACACCUAUGGCGAAGGCAGCUCGCUGGGACGUUACUGACGC
rnacentral:rRNA from 1 species